CCUGUGUACUUGAGGCAUUCUGAAGCAAAAGUGCUUUAGGGUGGAAGGCACAGGCUUUAUCCAAAGGAGAACAGUAUGGAACAGUACCAAAACAACCAAAACCAGUUGCUCUUAGAGCAAACACCAUUCAUCAGGGAGAUACAUGGUGUGUAUAUGGGGAAGCACUCAGCUGUGUCCUAGGCAUGCCACUGGAUGAACUGGCAGCUUUAAUCCAGAACCUUCCUCACAUAAGAGGAGACAAUUAUGCAACCAUGAAGACUUUCCCUCUUGGAAGAGAAGACCAGGAGAAAUUUGCAAGAGAUUUUACCAUCUGACUUACAGAAGUGAAUUCUUGAUUGCUCUCAAAGGACCUGGAUACCACAGAGGCAUCCAAGUGCCUGGUUGCCACCAACUCCAAAGGGAGCCACCCUAAAUGUCCACUGGAGGACCUAUGCCAAAACCAGACACAUUUAGAAGGGGAUUACUCUCUAUGUGAACUGAUAAUCUCUGUGGCGUUCGAGCAGAAAAUCAAAGUCUUCCAUUUUCUGCUGCUUGAGCAGCUGAGGCACAGGGAGGAGGAGGACUGCAAGCUGCCAAAAGGUGGCUGCAGUGAUUUCUGAGUCCUGGAAAGGACAGGGCCUAUGCAAGGGGCAGUUAUGUCAGCCCCCAGUUUAGAAAGGCCCUGCACUUCUAACACAUUCUCAGCCUGCUCAGCUUCCUCGGAAAGAAUUUGCUCUUGGCCCUUGCUUUCAGCCUACAUUGUCUCAGAGUUCACAGAACAAUGACUGGAUCAUCAAAGUGUCCUUAAUUAGCCUCUCCUGUCACAGUGGUAUGAAAACAGCAGUGAACUGAA